CAAGUCGAGGGGCAGCAUGACCGUAGCAAUACGGUUGAUGGCGACCGGCAAACGGGUGCGGAACACGUACACAACCUUCCUUUAAGCGGGGAAUAGCCCGGGGAAACCCGGAUUAAUACCCCAUAGUAUAUUGAAGAGGCAUCUCUUUACUAUUAAAGAUUUAUCACUUGAAGAUGGGUGUGCGGCUGAUUAGCUAGUUGGCGGGGUAAAGGCCCACCAAGGCUACGAUCAGUAACUGGUGUGAGAGCACGACCAGUCACACGGGCACUGAGACACGGGCCCGACUCCUACGGGAGGCAGCAGUAAGGAAUAUUGGUCAAUGGACGAAAGUCUGAACCAGCCAUGCCGCGUGGAGGAUGAAGGUCCUCUGGAUUGUAAACUUCUUUUAUCUGGGACGAAAAAAGGGAAUUCUUUCUCGUCUGACGGUACCAGAUGAAUAAGCACCGGCUAACUCCGUGCCAGCAGCCGCGGUAAUACGGAGGGUGCAAGCGUUAUCCGGAUUCACUGGGUUUAAAGGGUGCGUAGGUGGAUUGGUAAGUCAGUGGUGAAAUCUCCGGGCUUAACCCGGAAACUGCCAUUGAUACUAUCAGUCUUGAAUACCGUGGAGGUCAGUAGAAUAUGUCAUGUAGCGGUGAAAUGCUUAGAUAUGACAUAGAAUACCAAUUGCGAAGGCAGCUGGCUACACGAAUAUUGACACUCAGGCACGAAAGCGUGGGGAUCAAACAGGAUUAGAUACCCUGGUAGUCCACGCCCUAAACUAUGGAUACUCGACAUACGCGAUACACUGUGUGUGUCUGAGCGAAAGCAUUAAGUAUCCCACCUGGGAAGUACGAUCGCAAGAUUGAAACUCAAAGGAAUUGGCGGGGGUCC
rnacentral:rRNA from 1 species